GGAGCUGUGGCUCAGUGGUACACCUCCUGCUUUGCAUACAGAAGGCCCCAGGUUCCAUUCCUGGCAUCUCCA
rnacentral:tRNA from 1 species